rnacentral:rRNA from 1 species
AUUGAACGCUGGCGGCAGGCCUAACACAUGCAAGUCGAGCGGAUGAAGGGAGCUUGCUCCUGGAUUCAGCGGCGGACGGGUGAGUAAUGCCUAGGAAUCUGCCUGGUAGUGGGGGAUAACGUCCGGAAACGGGCGCUAAUACCGCAUACGUCCUGAGGGAGAAAGUGGGGGAUCUUCGGACCUCACGCUAUCAGAUGAGCCUAGGUCGGAUUAGCUAGUUGGUGGGGUAAAGGCCUACCAAGGCGACGAUCCGUAACUGGUCUGAGAGGAUGAUCAGUCACACUGGAACUGAGACACGGUACAGACUCCUACGGGAGGCAGCAGUGGGGAAUAUUGGACAAUGGGCGAAAGCAUGAUCCAGCCAUGCCGCGUGUGUGAAGAAGGUCUUCGGAUUGUAAAGCACUUUAAGUUGGGAGGAAGGGCAGUAAGUUAAUACCUUGCUGUUUUGACGUUACCAACAGAAUAAGCACCGGCUAACUUCGUG